rnacentral:rRNA from 1 species
UGGGGAAUUUUGGACAAUGGGCGAAAGCCUGAUCCAGCAAUGCCGCGUGAGUGAAGAAGGCCUUCGGGUUGUAAAGCUCUUUUGUCAGGGAAGAAACGGUGAGGGCUAAUAUCUCUUGCUAAUGACGGUACCUGAAGAAUAAGCACCGGCUAACUACGUGCCAGCAGCCGCGGUAAUACGUAGGGUGCAAGCGUUAAUCGGAAUUACUGGGCGUAAAGCGUGCGCAGGCGGUUUUGUCAGUCUGAUGUGAAAUCCCCUGGCUCAACCUGGGAAUUGCAUUGGAGACUGAAAGGCUAGAAUCUGGCAGAGGGAGAUAGAAUUCAAAGUGAAGCAGUGAAAAGCGUGGAUAUGUGGAGGUACACCGAUGACGAAGGCAGGACACUGGGUCAAGAUUGACGCUAAUGAACGAAAACGUGGGAAGCAAACA